AAAAGUCGUAACAAGGUCUCCGUUGGUGAACCAGCGGAGGGAUCAUUACCGAGUUAUACAACUCAUCAACCCUGUGAACAUACCUAAAACGUUGCCUCGGCGGGAACAGACGGCCCCGUAACACGGGCCGCCCCCGCCAGAGGACCCCCUAACUCUGUUUCUAUAAUGUUUCUUCUUCUGAGUAAACAAGCAAAUAAAUUAAAACUUUCAACAACGGAUCUCUUGGCUCUG
rnacentral:misc_RNA from 1 species